AUGUCAAAUAUAUACACAAAAUGGGACAGGGGAGUGAUCAUGUUAGUUAAAACAACAAGACUCUCCAAAGACCCAUGUCUUUGCAGAAAAGGGGUUAACCCAGACACAAUGCACUCCUGUCAACCAAGGGCAGAUUUACUGAGGUCAACCGAGGCAAAUGGGGUGUUUGCCAAGUCGAAAUGGAAAGGAUUUCCUGCAGCACUGAGACACAGGAACGGAGGACAAGGACACUAUCAGCACAGAGUGAAAGGCAGCUGCUGGCAGGCUAUUUGGCUGAAUAAGGAGAAGACAGACCAAAGUGAGAGCUAAUUACUCUAAAGAAGCCUUCAGAGAGAAGCAAGGGACAAGUGAUUUUCUCACACCAGGCUGGGUUUGUAAAACUCGAUCUUGUAAACCUUGGUCUCAGGGAACAAUUUGUUACAAAUACAACAAGACAAACCAAAACAAACAAGAGACCAGAAUUCCAUACUUCUCUUAAAAAUCUAGUUUCACGUUUGUUCUCAUUUAAAAUUCAGAAUGGAGAAUUGAACGCUGCUCGAACAACCAGAAUAAACAAAAGAUAAAAAAAGGACCCUUCCA
ensembl:lncRNA